CCGAGUUUACAACUCCCAAACCCCUGUGAACAUACCUACUUACGUUGCCUCGGCGGAUCAGCCCGCGCCCCGUAAAACGGGACGGCCCGCCGAGGACCCCUAAACUCUGUUUCUUAGUGAACUUCUGAGUAAAACAUAAAUAAAUCA
rnacentral:misc_RNA from 1 species